rnacentral:rRNA from 1 species
AUUGAACGCUGGCGGCAGGCUUAACACAUGCAAGUCGAGCGGGGAAGGGUAGCUUGCUACCUGACCUAGCGGUGGACGGGUGAGUAAUGCUUAGGAAUCUGCCUAUUAGUGGGGGACAACAUUCCGAAAGGAAUGCUAAUACCGCAUACGCCCUACGGGGGAAAGCAGGGGAUCUUCGGACCUUGCGCUAAUAGAUGAGCCUAAGUCAGAUUAGCUAGUUGGUGGGGUAAAGGCCUACCAAGGCGACGAUCUGUAGCGGGUCUGAGAGGAUGAUCCGCCACACUGGGACUGAGACACAGCCCAGACUCCUACGGGAGGCAGCAGUGGGGAAUAUUGGACAAUGGGCGCAAGCCUGAUCCAGCCAUGCCGCGUGUGUGAAGAAGGCCUUUUGGUUGCAAAGCACUUUAAGCGAGGAGGAGGCUACUUGGAUUAAUACUCUAGGAUAGUGGACGUUACUCGCAGAAUAAGCACCGGCUAACUCUGUGCCAGCAGCCGCGGUAAUACAGAGGGUGCGAGCGUUAAUCGGAUUUACUGGGCGUAAAGCGUGCGUAGGCGGCUUUUUAAGUCGGAUGUGAAAUCCCUGAGCUUAACUUAGGAAUUGCAUUCGAUACUGGGAAGCUAGAGUAUGGGAGAGGAUGGUAGAAUUCCCAGGUGUAGCGGUGAAAUGCGUAGAGAUCUGGAGGAAUACCGAUGGCGAAGGCAGCCAUCUGGCCUAAUACUGACGCUGAGGUACGAAAGCAUGGGGAGCAAACAGG